GACGAACGCUGGCGGCGUGCUUAACACAUGCAAGUCGAACGGAAAGGCCCUGCUUUUGUGGGGUGCUCGAGUGGCGAACGGGUGAGUAACACGUGAGUAACCUGCCCUUGACUUUGGGAUAACUUCAGGAAACUGGGGCUAAUACCGGAUAGGAGCUCCUGCUGCAUAGUGGGGGUUGGAAAGUUUCGGCGGUUGGGGAUGGACUCGCGGCUUAUCAGCUUGUUGGUGGGGUAGUGGCUUACCAAGGCUUUGACGGGUAGCCGGCCUGAGAGGGUGACCGGCCACAUUGGGACUGAGAUACGGCCCAGACUCCUACGGGAGGCAGCGGUGGGGAAUAUUGCACAAUGGGCGGAAGCCUGAUGCAGCAACGCCGCGUGCGGGAUGACGGCCUUCGGGUUGUAAACCGCUUUCGCCUGUGACGAAGCGUGAGUGACGGUAAUGGGUAAAGAAGCACCGGCUAACUACGUG
rnacentral:rRNA from 1 species